CUUCAGUGCUGCAGCAAACGCAUUAAGCACUCCGCCUGGGGAGUACGACCGCAAGGUUGAAACUCAAAGGAAUUGACGGGGGCCCGCACAAGCGGUGGAGCAUGUGGUUUAAUUCGAAGCAACGCGAAGAACCUUACCAGGUCUUGACAUCCUUUGACCACUCUAGAGAUAGAGCUUUCCCUUCGGGGACAAAGUGACAGGUGGUGCAUGGUUGUCGUCAGCUCGUGUCGUGAGAUGUUGGGUUAAGUCCCGCAACGAGCGCAACCCUUAUUGUUAGUUGCCAUCAUUUAGUUGGGCACUCUAGCGAGACUGCCGGUGACAAACCGGAGGAAGGUGGGGAUGACGUCAAAUCAUCAUGCCCCUUAUGACCUGGGCUACACACGUGCUACAAUGGGAAGUACAACGAGUCGCUAGACCGCGAGGUCAUGCAAAUCUCUUAAAGCUUCUCUCAGUUCGGAUUGCAGGCUGCAACUCGCCUGCAUGAAGCCGGAAUCGCUAGUAAUCGCGGAUCAGCACGCCGCGGUGAAUACGUUCCCGGGCCUUGUACACACCGCCCGUCACACCACGAGAGUUUGUAACACCCGAAGUCGGUGAGGUAACCUUUUUGGAGCCAGCCGCCUAAGGUGGGAUAGAUGAUUGGGGUGAAGUCGUAACAAGGUAGCCGUAUCGGAAGGUGCGGCUG
rnacentral:rRNA from 1 species